UACGGAGGGGGCUAGCGUUGUUCGGAAUUACUGGGCGUAAAGCGCACGUGGGCGGCUUUGUAAGUUAGAGGUGAAAGCCCAGGGCUUAACCCUGGAAUUGCCUUUAAGACUGCAUCGCUAGAAUUGUGGAGAGGUAAGUGGAAUUCCGAGUGUAGAGGUGAAAUUCGUAGAUAUUCGGAAGAACACCAGUGGCGAAGGCGACUUACUGGACACAUAUUGACGCUGAGGUGCGAAAGCGUGGGGAGCAAACAGG
rnacentral:rRNA from 1 species